rnacentral:lncRNA from 1 species
GUUUGAGAGGUCUUUUACUGGUUUUGACUAGGAAGCAUGCCAAAAGCUCUCAUAUGCAUCCUAGCCCCCCUCUCUCUCCCUGUCUAUAUGUACAUACCAUAUAUUAUUAAAUAAUUAUGGUAAAAUAUGUUAUACCAUAUACACAUAUACAUAUAUAAUCAGAUCAUUACCAGAUUGGAUCACUAUUUGAAAAAUCUUUAUAUCUACCCAUCGAUCCAUCUAUCUUUAUAUCUACCCAUCUAUCCAUCCAUUUGAAUGUGCAUAUUAUUAGAUAAUUAUUGUAAAAUAUGCUAUAUCAGGUACAUAUAUACAUAGAUAUACACAUUCAGAUGCACGUAUAAUGAUUGGAUCACUAUUUGAAUCAUCUUUAUAAGUGAAUUGAUCAAUUGGAUGAGAUUCUUAACAAAUUACUGUACCAAAAACUCCUUUUUGGACAUAGGCUAUUGGAUCAAGUUCAAGUCGAUUAAGAUCGAAAUCUGAUCUAUUGACGAGCUUAUUAACACGAUUCAUGUUGCACCAUUAGCUUUCUAGACAGCUCAAACAACUGUUUUUUUAAGAAAAAGACCUAUUUAUGAUUAGACUACAGGUUUUCAUUUAAAUUAUAAACAUUUUUUACAAAAUUAAAAAGGCACCCACACACACCGUCCUGAGGUUCCAUUUCAAGGGACUUUGCAUUCAAUUAGAGCUAGAGGUGAAGCAAAACUCCUGCUUAAUCCUGCCUACAUCUCUAUAUACUUCAACUUAUCAGCCUUUGUGGAAGUGGGCCAAUAAAUCAUUCUCUUCCUCAAAUUAUAUAUCUGUGUAUAACAGAAUAACCAUGAAUCCAACAUAUAUGGUGGACUCUGGGGCCUCCCUGUUUAGAGUCCAGCAGCAUACUGGCUUCCGUGGCACGCCCGUAGAAGCUGAAGCAAAGGCCUGAUAUCUACAGCUUCCCUUACAUUGAGGGGGCGGGUCUGACAUCAGGAAAUAUUGUUUCAAGCAAAAGCACAAGCAAUGCAUGUGCCGGAUUCUAGUUCUUACAAUACUAGAAAAGCCAAAAGCAACACCCUAACCAUCAGAGGAAGAUGAUAGUUAGUUUCCCCCUUGUGGUUAAGAAAGAAAUGUUGAUUUUAGUGGCCUGAGAGUAAUUUCCAUUUCUUAACAAGAAAUCCAUUGCCUGAUAGAAUAAGUAGGAAGACAAAAGAAAAUUUUAUAUAUGGAAAUAGUUACAUGCAAUGAGAUCUCAUGAGCAAUGCUACAGUAACUCGGAAAAUUACUCAAUAAAGUCAGCUGUCUUGCACCACCCAGUAUGCUUUGUUAUGUGAAACAAAUACACAAUGCCAAUACAAAGGGAGCAAUGAGAAUACAACAAACCAGUUAAGCGACUUAUUAACAUUUUAAGUUACUCUAGCAUUUUCCAUAUCUCAUACUCAAUUGAAUGAAAAUUAACCAUGCAUUCCAUGGCAACAUGUGAAAAGAAGACCAGAAAAUACUAAGGAUGAUAUAUUUAGUAUUCCAAGGGACCUGGGCAAAACCAUUAAAAUCUGAAAAAUUUCAAAACGCUUGUUCAGCCACUAAAUUUAGCAGUGGACAAAUGGAGUGUCAAAGAAGUAUCCACAUGAUCGAUCAAUCAAUCAUGUACAGGAUUCUGGUUAUUGUAAAUGGAGUAGGAAUCUGUUGUUUCCUACGAAAUACAAUUUCUUUAGAUCUCUUCUGCUAAUUCUACAUCAUACUCAUGCAACUUCCAUGUGAUAAGUCUAAGAGAAAGCAUGACAUUUUCAAUUGAAAAUGAACUACAUGGACAUUAAUGCAAGCAAGAGGCAUGAUAGGCUAAGUAAAUUUAAAAGAAUGUGCUAAAUAAAUAAGUAUAAAUAAUAGGAGAGCACAAAGGGAUAAUUAUAUAAUUCGAUAUAGAAAACAUACAGGCCUUUCUAGGAGUUACUUCCAAUUUUUAGACAAAUACGUUAUAUAGAGAGAAAGGGACUCACAAAGCUGGAAAAUUUGGUGAUUUUGAAAGGGCUGAAAUUUACUGGAGCUUCUUCCAGAAACAACUCCACAUAGUGAAGUACGAAAAGGCCGCAGUCAAAUGAAUUCUCCUGUUGCGGCAACUAUGACAUAAAGUAAUAAGUUAGUAAGCAACUACUAAUCAGCAAAAAAGAAAAGAAUGGAUAAAGUUAUCCCAACGUAGAGCUAAGAGUGGCAAAUAGAAGAUUAAUGCCAUGCAAAUGCAAGAUUCAUGAAUGAGGAUACAAAAACAUAAAUUUUGAUAAAAUUCAGUGGAAGUUAGUUAGCAUUAAGAGCAUAAAUUCCAUUGAAAACAAGGAGACAAUAUUGAACAAUAUUGACUUUGAGAAUCUGUCAGGAAGAAGAGUGACAUACAUGUCAAAUGUCAUGACAAAAUAUGAUUUUAUAAGCCAAAAAAUAUAAAACAAAAGAAAUAGUCAAGAAAACAUUAAACAUUAUACUUCAAGGAACAAAUAACAAGAAAUGCAAGUUGCAGAUUACUAUGUUCAGAAUUUGUAUGACUUAAAAAAAAUGCAUAGGGCACAACAAGACCCAAAUUAUUAUUCAUAGCAAAAUACGGCAAACUCGCAAACAAGGCUGUCGAAAUGGUUAGGCAAAGCCAGGCAGUGGACACACUUUAUGAACUAGAAGGAGGCCUAGGCACUUAGGCAACUGCCUAGCAAGGAAAGCAACUUCAGUUCUUGAUAAUGAAUGCCAUUAGAUAUGCAUCAAUAAGUAGGUAUUUAUGAUACAUACACUAUUUUCACAAUAUAUGGAAUCAUGAGACCUUUUCUUCACACAAAAAAAUCCAAAGAUCAAAAUCUACAGGAAGAAGGAGAGCACCAAUAGCAUUGCUGCUACUGCAACAACUAGCAAAUUAUGGAGCCACGGAAAAGUAGCCAACACCGGUUAAGGCAUAGAAGCAGAAGGAAGAAGAGAAGAAGGACAGGGAAAUAGCAAAAAUCAGACUGCAGCGCCAUAUCAAACACCCAUCAAAAGAGAAGAAAGAAGAAUAGGGGCUAGCAGGAAAGAUGAAGGGGAAGAGCAUGAAAAAUAGGGUAAGCACGGCCAGAUGAAGAAGAAGUGGUAUUAGAAGAAAAGGAGGAGAGGAACCAAAGGAAGUCAAUAGAAGAAUACAAAUGAGAAAGGAAGGAAAAAAGGUAAUAGAAAACAAGCAUACAUAACUGGCACCAAUACUGGUGACCCGUCAUAGCCUCCACUACCCUCCAAUAUGUCCCAUAUGGGGCUCAAAUAGGGAAAGAAUGAUAUAAAAAAAUUUCUUCAAAGAAGUAGGCUUUUGGUAAGCUUGUACUAGGUGAAUUGACCGAAUAAGCACCUAGGCAACCUCCUUUGACAACACAGCUCCUAAAAGUAACAUAAAAACCCACUAAUAUCAAGGUCUGCAAAAGUAGUAUCGACAAUUGUAUCAAUAUGUUACUGGUUCGAGCUGGACACACCCUAUACCAACACAAGCUCCCAAUACUUUUUGCUCACUCCCAGCCAUGGUACUGCCGAAAUGGGUGGUAGGGCUUCGUAUCAGGUGGUAUAGGGAGGUUCUCCUUAGUACAGGCACAUAUGGACCAGUUUGGCUCAUGUACCGAACCGAACCUCAAUACCUUACCAGUAAGGUACAUCAAUAGGAGAAGGUAUGAGUCAAGACAAAAGACCUUGCUAAAUAUUGGCUGGGAGAGUGUGGCACGUGUACUUGAUCCAGUAGUAGAAUGUGGAGCAUAGGGGAGGUAGCAUGCCAACAUUACAGGACUAGAUAUUACUUUUGCAAGGUAUGAUAUUAACCAAGGUGGCACACAAUGUCUCACAAUGUAUAUUCCUAAAAGCAUAGCCAAUGAGCCAAGGAUGACUUGUAGUCACCAAGAUACUAAAAUGGAGAAUGACACCCACAGGCAGAACAGAACCGUCAUCUGAUUAGGUGACCUCUAUAUGCCAAACUCGACAAAUAUGCACACUGAUAUGUAAUAUAACAUUCCUGUGAUUAUAUGGAAAUAAGAAACGAGGUUUCAUAAAAAGCAAUUUUAGUCAGCAAUCACAUGAAAAGUCUUGAUGUCCAUACCACACAUGAACAUAUUGGCCAUGAUCUUAUGCAUUUUUUUAUAUUCAAAAAAGUUCAUUUGGAUGCAAAAAGUUAAGUAUAAAUUUGUUGGCGAACUCUAGGCUCUUGAGAAGAUAACACAUUGUCAUGAAAGACUUAGCACAAUAAAAAAAUCUAAAAUUUGCUUCAAUGCUGAUCCAUUGUGCAUCAUAGCCCGAUUCUUAGAUGCCAGAAGCUGGAGCAGGUGCAAAAGUAGAUUCAGGUGCAGGUAUGGGGAAUGGGUCUCUCAAAGAAAAAAGGGAAAUUAAAAUAAGGAAGUGCUUUGGUAAUAGGUAUGAGGACAAGUUUUUGAAGUGGAUACCUACCCUAACUAGAAGUUUCAAGAUAUUAAGGCCAGGUUUUGGCAAGUAGAAUGUAGUUUCAAAUUUUGGACACCACAUUAAUUGCUUUUAACACUGUGGUUGAAGGGUUUCAGGCAUGGAUUCAAUAACUGCUAGAAUGAGCCAGUAUGACCAGUAUCAAAUUGUCCUGGUGCAAAGCUAGCACCUGCACAAGUGUCGAAACACCAAAACCCUGUGUUCCAGUAUAUACCAGCCGUACUGAUGUAUACUGGUACACAUUGGUCCAUACAGCUGUACCUUACUAACCACACCGGUGCAUACCAAGAGUCUUUCAUUGUUCUAAGGUGUAAAUUUCAGUGCAUACCAACAGUCCCAAUAUCAUACCAAUAUGAUAAUGGUACCAUACCAUUCCAAUAGAAAAAUGUUACAGGUUCGGUAUCAGUUUUUAAAACCUUGGCCUAAGGCAUUUAGGUUUCAUUUGGUCCAACUUAGGUUGCUUUCAAAAUUAUGGAAGCAUUAGGCAGUAAGUCCACAAUCAAGGAUAUAGAGUGCCAGUUUCAGGACCUAUUGUUUACGAAGCUGCACUUAAAAGGUUGAUGCCUUAUAAGAUUUCAACAUUAUGAUUUAAAUAAAGUCUAAGAGCCAAAUGUAUUUUGCGUAUAUUCUCAAAAUUUGGUUGACCGAAACUUUGUAAUGCACCUACCACAUUCAGUUCAUUGCUGGUUGACAAGAGGGCAGUACAAAAAAACCCACAAUAAAGGAGCUGAAGUUUGUGAUGCAUGCAACACCAAUUACAAAUCUUCAAAGAAUUGAAUCAUAUAAGAUGCUCAAAUGAGUUUCACCCUGUUCACACUAUACAGUGUUGUCUGAAAUACAUAAAAGUAAACCAAUUAAAAUGUCUGGGCCAAAACAAGCUGAAAAAUCAGAAAUCAACCACAUGAUUGUGGAACUUGUUCUGGCCUUUCGGACCAAGGUUCACCAACAUGAGAUCUAAAAUUGAAAUUAUGACCUAAUGCUACUAACACAACAUUUGGACUGGUUUAGUGGCCCCAUGGAUCAUCCAAAAGAAUUGAGUGGAUGCAAACAAAAUGCCAUGGUUUGUCGAACUGUGCUAAACCGGCCGGUUCAGGGCAUACCAAACCGAACCGAACCGGUCAGCUACUGGCAUGGUUCGAUAAUAUCGGUUUCGGUUUAUGAUUGCUCGUCCUCAGCAUUUUUUUUCAUUCAAUAGUAGCUUCGCCCGUUCCCCUCCCUUGAAACCCUAAUCUCCAUCACCGGUGCUCGACNNNNNNNNNNNNNNNNNNNNNNNNNNNNNNNNNNNNNNNNNNNNNNNNUGACAACACGUCUCUCCUCCUCUCUCUCUCUCUCUCCCCCUCCCCCUUUGACGACAACAACCUCCUAGCCCUUCCCCCUCUCUCUCGGCCUCUACCUCCCCCCCCCUCUCCCACUCCCUCUCUUUUCCUCUCUCUCCUCCCUCCACUCCUACCACUUCGGAUCCUUUGUUAAUGGUACGCCCCAAAACGGCAUGGUAUGAACUCGUACCAUGCUGAACCGGUCGCUAACCGGUACACCUUUUGAUAUCAAUUCGGCAAACCUUGAUACUAUGUUUCUUCCAAAUAAAAAAUAUCUAACCAUGGAGAGCCAUGAAGAUAUUUUCCUCUCUAAGUUAUCUAACAUGCCUAUAGAUUUAAACAGAUAUAGCACCCCCUUCCACCUCACUUUUCUUCUAAAACCAAUAUUCAAAUUUAUACAAACAUAUGACCAACUUCUACAAUAGAUUAUCAAUAUUAUUAGAUUAACAAUUCCAACACAUAAAAGUCCUUUAAACAAGAUACGAAGUAACCUACAUUAAUAUACCAGUGAUGAUGAACCUACAAGAAGUAUGCUCACCAACGCCUAUCUCUUUGUAAAAAUGCAAACAAACAAGUAAAGCAUUCAUUUAUUCUCAAGAGCAUACACUAAUUUCCAAUUUCAAUUGUCACUUGACAUUUGUAGCAAGAAUUGGAUUAUGCAUGACCUGUUACAAAUAAUAAUAGCAGCUUUUCCUAGCUCCAUUAAGCUGUCAUUAAAACAGAGAAACAAACCUCAAGUGAGACAAAUCUUAAGUUUGAGAACUUUGAUGAAUUAUCCUCCGAUGAUUCUGGGUGUCUUUCCUUCCAUUCCUCCCAUAGGUAACUGCCACUCUCCAGAAAAGAGAACUAAGCAUUGCAUUCAUCUAAACAAAGAUUCUAGUAAACUGCUGGAUAUCAUGGCAAGGGUAAAAGAAAAACAAAGAGUUUUAUAACAGGGAAAAUAUAAAGAAAAUAUGUCCUCCAAACAACAGUUCUACCAGGGCAAAGGACAUUCUAAGUCCUUUAAGUUAUUCUGAAAGUUUAGUGUACAUAAUGAAUCAAAAGUCAAUGAUCUCAGGAAGUUUACAUAUUUCAGUUAUAUAUGUGUUGACAGUGGAAAUCUUUAAUAAAUGGAUAUUUCAUCCAAGCAAUUACUUUGGUUGAGUUGCAUAAGAUUUUUAGGCCCCUGAUGUUUGUCAUGUGCAUUGUAACCUGUAAAUUGACCAACAGUAUCAAUAACAUCCACUGCCAAAUGCAAGAUGGGCAAUUACUCGCUUUAUAUGGUAUGCAUAAUGUUAAAUGCAUUUCCGAAUUAAAAGGUUUUUUAAAUCAUAAUAUGGCCUUCCAUGGGCCAAAGCUGUAACGAACACCUCUUGGGUUUACCUCCAAAUAAUUAGAAACCUUUCCAAACCAGAAACCAUUUCCCAAACCUGAAUAACUUAUGCCCCAUUGAUCAUUUAAACUAUAACACUCCCCAAAUAAGUAAAGCCCAGAAGCAUCCUAUUCAAUUAACAAUUGCCCAAAAACCAAUACCACACACCUAACCCUCUUUACUCAGAACCCAAUUACCCUAUAACAGCAUAACUUACCUAUCUGUUGAAACUCGUAUCUCCAAAAGCCUAAAAGCCUAUAAUUGUGAAUCGAUCCUCAAAGCAACAAUCCAACCUCAAUCUACCAUCAAUAUAGCCCAUGAAGCCCAACUGACCAUCUUAGUCCAAAAACCAAUACCAACCAUCAUAGACCCCAAGGUCAAACCAUAUCGCCACCAUUUAAGCAUCAUACUAGCCGCUUGAAAGUUGAAAACCUACUCAUCUAUUUAGCAUAGACACAUUCAAAGAUCCUGGUAAUGGCAACUUCCAACAAAAUUGGCACAUGAAAUUUAUUUUGUCUUUGAGUGUUAUAACAUGGUUUUAGGGAUAGAACAUUACCAUACUAAUAUCCAAGUAGGCGCACCUAAUAAAACAUGUGGAAGAACAUCGCUUAUCAUUCCUAUGUUCUCCACCAAAAACAUCUAUGUUUCAAGGUUUUAAAACUUGGUUUUAGUUUCGGUUUUGAUCCCUCAGACCGAGAUUCGGUUUCAACAGUUUCUGUCCAAGCUUCAGAGUUUCAGUCUGAAAAAAAAAUAAACAAAGAAGAUGAGAAAAGUUAUCAUACAACAAUUUGAACUAUUUUAGUUAUAUAGGUUAUCUAUAGUUUCUAUAAUUUAGGAAUGAAAUUAGAAUUGCAAGUGAGUGAAAUUAGGCAUUCUAAUAUUUUCUACUUUAAAUAUAUGUUUAUGUAUGUGUGUUUGUAUAUAUGCAUGCAAGGAUGCAUUACUUACUUCUUGAGCAUCAGUUGUUUAAAAUUCAUUUCAUUUGAUAUUUAGUACAACUGAGCAAUUGAAUUUUGGGCAUUUUUCUCAUAUUUUAGAUGCCAAGACUCUAUUUAGUCAAAUGCAUGCACUUGUCGGAUGUUAACUAUUUUAUAUAAAAAUGUGUUAUUUUUGUGAAACGCGUUGUAUCGAGUUGUUCACGUUAAUCCUUCCUCUCUAUAGAGAACCAUGAUAAGGGUUUAUUUGAAAGCCUUGGUUCAUCAAACAUCUAUCUCCUCUUUUAACUCAAGAAAAAGAACAAAGCAGCAAGAAAAAAACCUGCACCCUAAAAUCGGUAUUCUAUAACCUAUCAAUGUUUUUGGUCAGUUUCAGCAGAAACUCGCUAAAACCAUCAAAACUGGAUCAAGAUCAGCCAGUUUCAGCUGAGACUGACCAAGAGCACCGAAAUUUAUCGAAACCAAAAAUUGAGGUCAAUUUCUGUUCGCGUUUGACAGUGUUCCAUUACGGCCCAAAUGAAUCGGUUUCAGCUGAAACAAAAAACCUAUCUUUUAGCUUGUGCAUAGAAUAAAUAACAAAAUCAAUAACCAUAACUCAGACAAAAGUAGUAAACUUUGACAAAAUUUAGCAAGCAUCAAGUCAUAUGCAAGAUAAAUCUUCCAUGUAGGAAGUGCACCUCUACAUAUAACAUAACCCGUAUAUAUAGCAAACUUCAGAUUUCUUGUUCUCACUAGUUAUCAACCUAAAGUCUCCACCUUUUUCAUCCCAGCAGCAAGUUGUGUAUAUAUAUGCACAGACCUACUUACCACAUGAACUAGAGAGCACACAAAUAUAUGAAUGUCAUAAUAGUUUUACGGACUCCACCAAAUUCUCAGCUUCUACAAGGGUUUAACUGUAUCACUGCCUCAUAAAGCCUCAAAAAUAUAACAAUGCGAAAUCAAUAUAAUUGGUGCAAAUAUUCCAAGUUAUUGUACAGAAGAGGGAAUGAAAAAUAAAAAAAGAAAACUUUCAUUAAAUAAAUUAUCACAUAUGAAUGACAAAAAUCAAGAUGAAAAAGCAUUAAAAAACUAAACAAUCAGUGAUCACAUGAGACUGCAGUUGCAUGAACGGUGCAGAAGAUUCAUUACGGGCUCCUCGCAGUCAUGGAUGGUAUGCGCUUAAAUUAUUUUUUAAAGGUAAAAACAUGACGCAUUUAUUUCAUGGAUAGCACACACUGUAUUCUGUCGGUGUACCAAUUGCUGGACCCUUGCCUUUUCUACAUCAUACAAUAUGAUGGAAUAUAUCCAGCAUCAUGUCUAUCCUUGGCUGGAAUGGGCAUGAUAUAAGAUACCCUAAAAACCAUGAGACAGAAGGUUUUUCACACAUGAAGGCUGCAUAAGACAUUAGAGAAGGUCAAUAAGGUACAAACCUUUGAAUAAUAUUCUUGAGACCAGUAUGACUGCCCUUAAUGGAAUCCAUAUGCAAUACACACGGUACUUUAGAUGACUCCUUUACAUCAUCAUCUGACAAAAAAAAAAAAAAAAAAAAUACAUGAGUACAAAAUGAUACUUGUAGAAUGAAGAAAAAAGAUUCACACAGAAACUCUUGCCUCUGAAACUUGCUACUUCUCCAGGAUGACAAACAAGAAGCAAACUCCAGUGCAGACUGUAGUUUGAGGUCAUAAUUCAAAUUAGAAUUUUAAGAUUAAUUUCUUCAAAGAUAUAUAAAAAAAUGAGAAUAGUAUUCUUACUUGAAGUUAACUGGUAUGAAAAUGUAAUCUUUUGCAAAUAUAUCUACUUUCCUUGUCCAUUUAUGGACACGUAGGAAAGCAGCUCUACCUUCUGAAGCACUGCCCAGAUCCUUGUCCAGAUCCACUAGCUUACGGAAGAAAAAACUGUUGAAGAAAUGGAAUCUAUGCUUCUCAUUAGGUUCAAGCUUGUUCUUCAAAUACCUGCAAUCAAGUACACCACAAAGAACUCUAUUUUAAUACAGGUCCACACAAACAAGGACAAGUAACAAAAGAACGUCCAUAAUAAGCAGAAAGGAUACAGUUUACUCCAAAUUCAGAAAAACAAUGGUAUAUGAUAACAAAAAUAUAUAUAUAUAUUUCAUAACCUUCUUUCUUCUUUUUUGUACUUCAUGGUAACUACAGAAGAUAUUUCUAGAACAAGAGAUUAGAGCGAUGUUAGCAUUGUCAUUUAGCAAAUCUCUUUUUAAAACCGCACCAUGGUAUGGUAUCUAUGCAAUAUUGAUGGUCAAUCGAGACAACAUGAUCAUAUGACAUAAAGAGAGAGGGCGGAGAGGGCGAAGGAGAGGAAGAGAGAGGAGGAGGGAGCGAAGGAGGGAGAGAGAGAGAGAGAGAGAGAGAGAGAGAGGNNNNNNNNNNNNNNNNNNNNGAGAGAGAGAGAGGGAGCGAGAAAGGGAGGCAAGUGACCGGUAAUAUGCUCUAUCUAAAUCAUUGAAAACCAUAUUAAUAUCUUUUCUCUUUUCUGGUAUUAAACUAAAUUGAUUCUCCAAUAUUUUUGAAUCACAUCUCAAUCUGUGCUCAAUUACCCUCUUCCAAAGUUUUAUAGUAUGGUUCACAAGUUUAAUACCAUGACAGUUAGAACAAUUUUGAAUAUCACCUUUUACCUUUUUUAGAGUAGUGCACAUAAAAAUGCUUUAAAAGUUAAAAGAAUAUCCAUAUCAUAGCAAGAAAAAGAAUCCAAAGUACUAAAGAAUUCUAAAAAGACAUCAAAUUUUACCUUGUAAUUAACUUUAACAAGUGAACUAUGUUCUACCGGUCAACAACUCAUGAUAAGGGAGCAAAUAACCAACAAUGCAGGAUUGCGUACAUGGUUGAGAUAGAUAUAUUUU